AAAAGUCCUAUAGCCAAUCAGAAAUGAGCUUAUUCAUAAAAGUACAGUAUAAUCCAGUAAACCUGUAAUUUUAUGUAUAAGCUAGUCUCUGAUUGAAAAAUGCAACAGAUGUCAUCUCAA
rnacentral:pre_miRNA from 1 species